rnacentral:rRNA from 1 species
CCUACGGGCGGCAGCAGUGAGGAAUAUUGCACAAUGGGGGAAACCCUGAUGCAGCGACGCCGCGUGAGUGAAGAAGUAUUUCGGUACGUAAAGCUCUAUCAGCAGGGAAGAAAAACCGGCCUUAGGGCCGCCAGACGGUACCUGACUAAGAAGCCCCGGCUAACUACGUGCCAGCAGCCGCGGUAAUACGUAGGGGGCAAGCGUUAUCCGGAUUUACUGGGUGUAAAGGGAGCGUAGACGGCAGCGCAAGUCUGGAGUGAAAUGCCGGGGCCCAACCCCGGAACUGCUUUGGAAACUGUGCAGCUGGAGUGCAGGAGAGGUAAGCGGAAUUCCUAGUGUAGCGGUGAAAUGCGUAGAUAUUAGGAGGAACACCAGUGGCGAAGGCGGUCUGCUGGACAGCAACUGACGCUGAGGCGCGAAAGCGUGGGGAGCAAACAGGAUUAGAUACCCUGGUAGUC